CCUGGAAUAGCUCAGUCGGUAAAGCACGAGGCUCUUGAUCUCAGUGUUGUAGGUUUUUGUACACUUUGGACCAAAGAGUCCUGCAUUGCAGGG